rnacentral:lncRNA from 1 species
AUGGAGCUGAGCUCUGUAAGGGUGUGCCUCCUGGUUUCUAAGGAACUGGCUGCUAUUUAUGCAGUCUAUUUACACAUUCUCUUGGCUUUUUACGCAGAGGUAACAUUUUAUAAUGUGAGCUCCCUCUCCCUUUUCCCUCAGAUACACACAGACGUCGAGCAACCAGCAGAGAAAGCAAAGAUUUCUGAGAGAAUCCCACAUAGAGUGGCUGCUAUAAUAGCAUGGCUGUUUAAAGCUGGAUUGCUCUGCGUCUUCUCUCGGCGCCUGCCUGGAAUGAGCUCCUUCGUCAGGGGUUAAGGCUGCAGUGAGUUUGGCAAUGAGCUGAAAACCUUG